UUUUUUUUUUUCUUCCUUUUGCAGGUUUCUUAUUUUUGUUACUUUUCUCAUUUCCAUUCUUAUUUUGCAGCCUGCAGCGUGUUGUAAAUCGUUAAGACAAGAAAAGCAUUGAUUUCCAAUGGGGUGGAUUGAAGAAAAUAUGAAAUCAACUCAUAUUAGACAAAUUCUCUCUCAAGCCAUCAGCCUCGGUGCGUUUCCACUUUUCUCUUAAUUCUUUAAAAUCCUUUUAUACUUCAAACAAUUCCAUCGGAUAAUGAUUGAAAUUUUUAGUUUAAAUCUCGUUAAGGAAUGGUUAUUUCAUCGGCACUGAUAAUAUGGAAAGGAUUGAUUUGCAUUAUUGGGAGCGAGUCGCUGGUGGUGGUUGUGCUAUCUGGGAGUAUGGAACCCAGUUUCAAACGAGUGAGCCAAUUUUUUACACGUAUUUAAAAUUAAGUACUUAAAAAUUUUGAGCUUUGAUUUGUGAUAGUCAUAUAAAUUUAAAUUUGCGAAAUGCAGGGAGAUAUAUUUGUGAUAGUCAUAUAAAUUUAAAUUUGCCAAAUGUUGAACUGCUUGAACGACAAGUGAUAGAAGGUUCUCAUGUUCUGAUGUAGAAAAUCUCUAGAAAGUAGAAACAAAUAGUUUUGAUAAGGUUAACACCAUGGUCAACUCUAACAGUCUUGUGCAUGAGCUGUGUACUAGUGGUUGAACAUUUUCUUUCUGAAAUUUAUAUAGGUGUUAUGGCUGUAAAUUAUUUGAAUUAACGGGUCCCCGCCUGGUUAUUCUGUAUGCUGGAUUUAGUACAUUUCAUGUUUGGUUAUGCUUUGUCAGGUUCAUGAGCAGCGAGAUAGCAAAGAAGCUGAUAUACUCACUAAAGGUAACGUAUCCUUGAUAUCAAGCUAGUUGAAUGUGAGCAAAUACAAGUUGUGGUUUGUUUGUUUGUUUUCAACGAACUUUAAACUUUUUAUUAUCAAUCAUGAAAAUAUUUUCUGACUAUUAAAAUCUCUUUCCCCACCAAUGAAGUGGAGAGUGGACACUUCCAAAUAGUUUUGUUUGUUUACUUGUGGAAUGGUCUUAAAUACAUUCCAAGUUCUUCUCAUUUUUUCAUAUGUGUGUGUGUGUGUGUGGUUGAUCAUUCUUUAAAUAUCUUCAUAUGUACAGCUACUGCUUGAGUAUGCUAACCUUUUUAAUCUUUUGACUGGACAUAUUAAUCAGGAGACGCUAAUCUCUACGAUGACAGAAUGUUGUACACAUCUAGUAAUCGUUGGUUGCAACAAAAAUACAUCAUUGGCAGAACUGUUGGGUAAAUCAAACACCUCUAUAUUUCUCAAAGUGUUAACAAGUUCUAGAAGUGAAAACAUUUGUAAAACACUCUGAUUAGGAAUUUCUUGCAUCACCAUUUGUGAUGUAUGCUUUGAGUUUCAAGUUCAUCACACUUCAAUAGUAAAAUUACUCUUCUGUUUUAUUAUUUAUUGUAUUUUUAAUUGUAUAUAUCUUCUCUGAACUAAUGUUUUAUGUUUUCUGCAUGGCAGAAAGGAUCCCAUAGCGUUCACUUAUGCUUACCUGAGGUUUGUUCUAAAUUUUUCCAAAAAUUGGGCUGCCCAGAAAAAAAAAAACUUGAAAUAGGUUUACUUAGUACUAGUUAAAUCGGGCUUGAUUUUAGAUAAAUCUAAUUAUUAUCUUUAAGCAUGAUAUGUUCUAAUACUUUGAUUUAAGCUGUUGAUGUAUGUAUUCUGACUAUGGAAUAUCAUGUUCAAAUAUUCUACAAAGAAGAUAAUUAGGAGAUUCUGCAAUUGUUGAUGGUAAUUGGAAUUUAAGAAUAUAAGCUUAAGGGUUUAAUUGAAAUUUAAGCAUGAUAUGUUCUAAUAUUUUAAAUUUAUAUUGAUGAAUACUUUCCACCUAUAUUGACUUAAGUGAGUAGAUAUAUCAGUAGUGUACAUUUUUUUAUUCCACAAACAAUCUUAAAAAGUUGAGAUAUAUUUUUUAGAUGUAUUUUUUAAUAAUUUACUAUAACAUUAUAAGACACCUAAUUUACUAUAACAUUAUAAAACUAUCUUAAAAAGUUGAAUUGAUUUACGUAUCUUUGCCAUGUUCACUAUGGUUUGAACAGAUUAAGUUACUCUUAUUUUCUUGCAGAGCAUGUAGGAGCCAAAUUUGCGGUUCAAAUUCGAAGCCAUGCUCAAAAGUUUUUCUCUAAGGCUCAUUGCUUUGAGUUCAUUACAAGAUUUCCUUGAUUAAGUAAAUGUAUUAUAUCUUUUAUUACCAAGAUUUACUUGAUUAAGAAAAUGCAUUGUAUAUUUUAUUACCUUGCAUAUGUAUUGUUUAUUUUAGUUUUGAUUCUAAAUUUGUAUUUUUACUUAAGUGGUUUAACUUUUGGAUUUUAAUUGUGUUAUUAAUUUAUUAUUUUAAAUUCUAAUUUUAAAUUCAUUAAUUGUUAUAUUUAUAUUUAGUUUUAAAGUUAAAAUUUUCGUAGAAAAUUUAAUUUAAAUAAUAUUUUUUAUUUAUCCUUAAAACAUAAUAUAAUAUUUAUCAUAGAAAUAAAUAUUAUUUGAAAAAAAAUUAUUUUUUUUAAAAGAUAUAUUUUUAGCGGCGGUUGUGUUAAAAGUGCUGCUAAAGGUCUAUUCUAUAGCGGCGUUUGUGGGAAAAAGCGCUGCUAAAGCUUAAUAUCUUUAGCGGCGUUUGUGAAAAAAGCGCUGUUAAAGGUCUUGGACUUUAGCGGCGUUUGUGGGGAAGCGCCGCUAAAGGUCUUGGUCUUUAGCGGCGUUUGUGGGGAAGAGCCGCUAAAGGUCAUGGUCUUUAGCGGCGUUUAUUUAUAAAAACGCCGCUAAAAUUAGCGACGCUGUCAUUAGCGGCGUUUUUAGCGGCGCUUCUCAAAGUACCGCAAAUACUUUUAGUGGCGCUAAAAACGCCGCUAAAGACUUAAAAAAGCGCCGCUAAAAGCUUGUUUUGGUGUAGUAUACUGAGUUUAACUCGAGAUUUUUGUUAUAAUGUUUAGCUGCUAGGAAAAUGGAAGUUCUGGCGUUUGGAAAAGCUAAGCUUGGGAGACAAGAGACAUCACGUGAGUUUCUAUAUUCCAUCCCUAGAAAUGUUAAAUGGCUGGAAUGAUUAUGUAUUAAGUACUAUAAUGAUGUAUAAACUAUACUGAUUGUGAAUGCUAAGUACAAGUGGCUCAUUACGGAGGGAUUACAAUCGAUAGCAGGAAACCCCACUUCAAAUCAAAAUGAACUACAAGACUACUAUACAAAAUCGUCGAAACUAAAACUACCAAGCAAAAUAUGAAUAGAUAUGUGGAAAAUUACAAAUGGUUUUAUUCCAACACCUUACAACUUAAAGUAGAAAGGCCUGGUAAGAAACGAUCGAUGCCCGAUGUGCAAGGAUAGGGAGGAAUCAGUGGAACAUAUAUUUCGGGAUUGUACCUUCACAGCAAAGAUCGUGCAAUAAUUGGGUGUGGCAGACUCAACCACCAAUAGAAACCAGGGUUAGAAAAAUUGGUUAGCAAUUUUCUUUCUAAACAACAAUCAUACACAAUUCAAACUGUUAGCCAUGACAUAUUGGUCCUUUUGGUUUAACAGAAAUAAAAUGUACCACGAAGACAUUAAACCCAAUAAAACAGAGUUGAUAUCAUUCAUCAGGGCAUAUAUUAUAGAAAAUGAAAUGUUGAAUGGUUUGCUGAUAAUAAAAUCAGUAGACAAAAAUAUAAAAUGGGAACCACCCAAUGCAGAUACUAUCAAAAUAAACUUCGAUGCUUGCAUGAACGAGGGACUGGUAAUGGGUGCAUUUAUUUACCCAUGUAGACACAUCGCGAUCCCAACAACGGCGGAGGCAUGGGCGUGCUUGCAUGCAAUCACUUUCGGGGAAGAGUUAGGAUUCCGAGAAAUAUGUUUCGAGGAGGACUCAUUAAUGGUAAUAAGGGGAAUAGAAAUUUCAAAAGUGGCAGAUCAGAUAUUAGCGCAAUAUUAAAAGAAAUAAAAAAGAAAAUCCCUAAUUUCACAAGGAUCACUUUUCGGUACAUACCCAGAACAGCUAACGGUGUGACACAAGCAUUAGCAAGAGAGGGUCGAUGUCAUGAGCUGCCACGAUACUGGAUAGAGGAGGUCCCAGAUUCAUUAGAAGAAGCUGUCAAAUAUGACCGAGAAGCAAGUGAGAGGACAGUUUGAAAAAAGGCGUUGUGAGACCGGAAAAGGUAAAAGGCUAUUACGAGGACUUGUGGACACAAGUGAUUCUAUCUGGCACUGGUGCAGGUGUUUAUUUUGGCGAAGAAGAAGAUAGGUAGUGAAAUGGGGAGAUCUGGGUGAUUGCUUAGGUUUUAGAAAGUUCUGUUUUUGUUAGGGUUUGAUUUCAUUACUACACCGUUUGGGUGCCCAAUAGAAAAUUAGGUUAGUAAAUGCGUGAGGUGGAGAUAUUAUGAGGCACUAUUUGGGUGGCCAUUAGAAGAAUUACAGCUGCUAAAGCUGUUAUUUAGGUUAUGACCUGCUUCAUUUUAUCCCUCAUCAAUGCACCAGUUCAGUUUAUACUAAUGAGAUCUGAAGAUGAACGUAUAAAUUCCCAAGGCACUCACACGAUCUCACAAACAGCCACUUCAGUUACGCUUAUGUUGAUUUUAACCAUGGUUUCUCAAAGCUUCAUUGUAGUUGUCACACCUGAUUUUCAUUAAAUCUUAAAAUUAGGAACAAUUAGAGGUUAAAUUAGAAAAACCGUAAGUUGAUGACCUCUACUGAAAAAUUAGGAAAAGUUAG
rnacentral:lncRNA from 1 species